AAAAAAGGAUAAUAUGAUCAAAAUAAAAAAAAAUCAAGCUGAUUAGAAACAGUUCUAAAAAUAGAGCUGAUAUAAACUGUAGCUGAUGGGUACUAUAUCAGCUACUCAUCAGCUAUCAGUUUUAUUUUUUAAAACUUAUCAAAUACUCUAGUUCACCUAUUUAGUGUCUAUCAGCUAUCAGCUGCAUCCAACAGGUGAAUCAAACACCUCGUCAAUCUUUUAAACUAAAUUUAAUCAAAUUAUUUCGAUUUGAUUCAAUUUGAUUCGUUCUUAAAUCGGACCGACUGAAUGAUGCAGGCCUACACAAGUGUGAAUACUAAUUUCAUCAACUUUGGCAUGACAAACAAAAGAUGUGAUUAUGCUUAAAAAAAAAAGAAUAUGAUUAUUUUGUCAAAAAAAUAAUUAUUUUCUCUUAGAUAAUUUGUUAUGUUGUAACUUUUUAAUAAAUUUUCUUUUUAAUAAAUUUCAUUAUAUAUAUAUAUAUAUGGGCUAAAUACUCGAGACUAUAUUAGAGGCUUUGAAAAAUAAUGUCAUUUUUCAAAUAGUCUAAGGUAAAGCAUAAUUAAUU
rnacentral:misc_RNA from 1 species